GCUGGGCAUGGUGGUGCAUGCCUGUAGUCCCAGCUACUCUGGAGGCUGAGACAGGAGAAUCACUUGAACCCAGGAGGCUGAGGUUGCAGUGAACUGAGAUCAUACCACUGCACUCCAGCCUGGGUGACAGAGUGAGACUCCAUCUCAA
rnacentral:SRP_RNA from 1 species